rnacentral:rRNA from 1 species
GGUCACUGCUAUCAGAAUCCGAUUAAGCCAUGCGGGGCAAGGGUAGCUUUGCUACCCGCCGCACUGCUCAGUAACACGUAGUCAAUCUGCCCUGAGGACGGGUAUAAGCUCGGGAAACUGAGGGUAAUGCCCGAUAGGUGAAAGGUACUGGAAGGUCCGUUCUCCCAAAAGGUCUCUUCGGAGUUCCGCCUCAGGAUGAGACUGCGCCGGAUUAGGUUGUUGUUGGGGUAAUUGCCCAACAAGCCGAUAAUCCGUACGGGUUGUGAGAGCAAUAGCCCGGAGAUGGACUCUGAGACAUGAGUCCAGGCCCUACGGGGUGCAGCAGGCGCGAAAACUUCGCAAUGCGCGAAAGCGUGACGAGGGGAUUCUGAGUGGCUUCGCACCGCGAAGCCUUUUGCCAAGUGUGAAAAGGCUUGGCGAAUAAGGGGUGGGUAAGACGGUUGCCAGCCGCCGCGGUAAUAACCGCGCCCCAAGUGGUGGCCAUUUUUAUUGGGCCUAAAGCGUUCGUAGCCGGCUUUGAAAGUCCACAGUCAAAGCCUACUGCAAACAGUGGAAUUGCUGUGGAUACUACAGAGCUUGGGACCGGGAGAGGCCAGGGGUACGGUCAGGGUAGGGGUUAAAUCCGUUAAUCCUGGCAGGACCACCUGUGGCGAAGGCGCCUGGCUGGAACGGCUCCGACGGUGAGGGACGAAAGCUAGGGGAGCGAUCGGGAUUAGAUACCCCGGUAGUCCUAGCUGUAAACGAUGCCCACUUGGUGUCAGCUGUCCUACGAGGGCAGUUGGUGCCGAAGCGAAGACGAUAAGUGGGCCGCCUGGGGAGUACGGCCGCAAGGCUGAAACUUAAGGGAAUUGGCGGGGGAGCACUACAAGGGGUGGAGGCUGCUGUUC